rnacentral:rRNA from 1 species
AAACUCAAAGGAAUUGACGGGGACCCGCACAAGCAGCGGAGCGUGUGGUUUAAUUCGUUGCUACACGAAGAACUUACCUGGGUUUGACAUAUAGGUUGUAGGGAACUGAAAGGGACCGACCCUUCGGGGAGCCUAUACAGGUGUUGCAUGGCUGUCGUCAGCUCGUGUCGUGAGAUGUUCGGUUAAGUCCGCUAACGAGCGCAACCCUCGUCGUAUGUUAUAUGUGUCAUACGAGACUGCCGGUAAAAGCCGGAGGAAGGUGAGGAUGAUGUCAAGUCAGCAUGACCUUUAUAUCCAGGGCUACACACACGCUACAAUGGUCUGUACAAUGGGUAGCCAAGCCGCGAGGCGGAGCCAAUCCUGAAAGCAGGCCUCAGUUCAGAUUGCAGUCUGCAACUCGACUGCAUGAAGCCGGAGUUGCUAGUAACCGCAGGUCAGCAAUACUGCGGUGAAUACGUUCCCGGGUCUU